GACGAACGCUGGCGGCGUGCUUAACACAUGCAAGUCGAACGGAAAGGCCCUGCGUUUGUGGGGUGCUCGAGAGGCGAACGGGUGAGUAACACGUGAGUAAACUGCCCUUGACUUUGGGAUAACUCCAGGAAACUGGGGCUAAUACCGGAGAGGAGCUCCUGCUGCAUGGGGGGGGUUGGAAAGUUUCGGCGGUUGGGGAUGGACUCGCGGCUUAUCAGCUUGUUGGUGGGGUAGUGGCGUACCAAGGCUUUGACGGGUAGCCGGCCUGAGAGGGUGACCGGCCACCUUGGUACUGCGGUACGGCCCAGUCUCCUACGGGAGGCAGCAGUGGGGAAUAUUGCACAAUGGGCGGACGUCUGUUGCAGCAACGCCGCGUGCGUGAUGACGGCUUACGGGUUGUAAACCGCUUUCGCCUGUGACGAAGCGUGAGUGACGGUACUGGGUAAAGAAGCACCGGCUAACUACGUG
rnacentral:rRNA from 1 species